rnacentral:rRNA from 1 species
GACGAACGCUGACGGCGUGCUUAACACAUGCAAGUCGAAGGGAGUGGCGAACGGGUGAGUAACACGUGAGUAACCUGCCCUUUUCUUUGGGAUAAGCCUGGGAAACUGGGUCUAAUACUGGAUGGUUUGGGAUGGGCUCGCGGGUUAUUAGGUUGGUGGUGGGGUGAUGGAUGACCAAGGCUUUGACGGGUAGCCGGGCUGAGAGGGUGGUCGGUCACACUGGGACUGAGAUACGGCCCAGACUCCUACGGGAGGCAGCAGUGGGGGAUAUUGCACAAUGGGCGAAAGGCUGAUGCAGCGACGUCGUGUGGGGGAUGAAGGCCUUCGGGUUGUAAACUCCUUUCGCCAGCGAAAUGGUAGUGGGUAAAGAAGCGCCGGCUAACUACGUGCCAGCAGCCGCGGUAAUUC